rnacentral:ncRNA from 1 species
CCUCAGUAACGGCGAGUGAAGCGGCAACAGCUCAAAUUUGAAAUCUGGUCCUUUCAGGGCCCGAGUUGUAAUUUGUAGAGGAUGCUUCGGCUUACGCGGCGGUCUAAGUUCCUUGGAACAGGACGUCACAGAGGGUGAGAACCCCGUUUGUGGCCGGCGCUUCGGCUAUGUGAAGCUCCUUCGACGAGUCGAGUUGUUUGGGAAUGCAGCUCUAAAUGGGAGGUAAAUUUCUUCUAAAGCUAAAUAAUGGCUAGAGACCGAUAGCGCACAAGUAGAGUGAUCGAAAGAUGAAAAGCACUUUGGAAAGAGAGUCAAACAGUACGUGAAAUUGUUGAAAGGGAAGCGCUUGCGACCAGACUUGGGCGCGGAUGCUCAGCCGGUCCUCGGGCCGGUGUACUCUUCCGCGGUCAGGCCAGCAUCAGUUCGGGCGGUCGGAUAAAGGCUUUGGGAAUGUAGCUCUCUUCGGGGAGUGUUAUAGCCCGUGGCACAAUACGGCCCGCGUGGACUGAGGAACGCGCUUCGGCCAGGAUGCUGGCGUAAUGGUCGUAAGCGGCCCGUCUUGAAACACGGACCAAGGAGUCUAACAUCUAUGCGAGUGUUUGGGUGGCAAACCCGUGCGCGAAAUGAAAGUGAACGGAGGUGGGAGCCCUCGGGUGCACCAUCGACCGAUCCUGAUGUCUUCGGAUGGAUUUGAGUAAGAGCAUAGCUGUUGGGACCCGAAAGAUGGUGAACUAUGCCUGAAUAGGGUGAAGCCAGAGGAAACUCUGGUGGAGGCUCGCAGCGGUUCUGACGUGCAAAUCGAUCGUCAAAUUUGGGUAUAGGGGCGAAAGACUAAUCGAACCAUUGAGUUUUUGGAGGGGCUACUAGGUGGUUAAGAGGCGACUGAAAAGGUCGCUAGUCCUGCCUCCAGGGCGAUACCGUCAAAUUGCGGGGACCUCCUUACAGCCUGAGCUACCGCGGCCACGUUAAAAGACGGGGUGCAGCACCGGGGUAAUGACCUAGGGGAUGGUAAAAACGCUCAGGAUUGGAGAAUCCGCAGCCAAGCUCUAAGGCGCUGUUCCUAGCAGUGGUAAGAGUGCAGUUCACAGACUAGAUGGCGGUAGGUCUGGGGUCGAUGGAUUUUGACGCCGGGCUUAAGGUAUAGUCGAUUCCCUGCAGAAAUGCAGGCGGCGGGAGAAAGCUUCUAGGCGGAUGGGCCGCUGUCACAGGCGGUGCCUAGCAAGCGCGAGCCCUGCCGGGAGCCCG